rnacentral:rRNA from 1 species
GACGUAGGGGGCCAACGUUGUUCGGAAUUACUGGGUGUAAAGGGUUCGUAGGCGGUGCGGCAAGUCGGGAGUGAAAUCUCUGGGCUUAACCCAGAGGCUGCUUCCGAAACUGCUGUGCUUGAGGACUGGAGAGGAGACUGGAAUUUAUGGUGUAGCGGUGAAAUGCGCAGAUAUCAGGAAGAACACCCGUGGCGAAGGCGGCUCUCUGGGACGGUACUGACGCUGAGACGCGAAAGCGUGGGGAGCGAACAGG